rnacentral:lncRNA from 1 species
GCAGCACCUAAGGCAUAUGGAAAUUUCCAGGCCAGGGGUAAAAUCAGAGCUGCAGCUGAGGCCUACACCACAGCCACAGCAACACUGGAGGGAUCCAUUCGAGCCACAUCUGCAACCUACAUGGCAGCUUGCAGUGAUGCUGGAUCCUUAACCCACUGAGCAAGGCCAGGGAUCAAACCCGAAUCUUUACAGACACUAUGUUGGGUUCUUAGCCUGCUGAGCCACAAUAGGAACUCCAAGAAGUUCAUUCUUUAUGGUAUAUUUUUUGUUUGUUUUAAAUUUGUAAAAUCAAUGUAUUUUUUAACCACUUGCUUUCCAUGAAUUUACAGUGCCAAGGCAGGCUAAAUUGUUUAUCUCCCUAACUCUUCAAAAAAAAAAAUCUCAAAUCACUUUUCUGUAUAGCAGAAAUUAACACAGCAUUGUAAAUCAACUCUACUUAAUAAAACUUCAAAAAAUGGAAAAAAAAAAGGAACAGAACCUCAUUUCUGUUUUACAGAAAGGAAACUGGUGCACUGUGAAAUUAAUGACUAGGGAAACUAGUCAUUGCCCAGGAUUUCAAGAUAGACACCAAAUUCUCUAAUUUCUUAGCCUGUAGCAUCCAACUCUAGAACUUGACUAUUCUAUCCCCUUGGGUUCUGGGUAGAGAGUAAUAAGGACCUCAGUGAGAUAGAUUUUCUGAUGGAUCAAAAAAAGAAUUAAAAAUAAAGAAGACAGAAAAAGAAAAAAUAAUCAGCCACAGCAAGGUAGGAAAGUUUUGGACAAACAGAAGAAUCACUGUGAACUAAAUAUAUAUUGAAUGUACUGUUUCAUAGUCAUCAACAAUUUAGUUAAGAGACAGGGAUUUCCAAUAUUGAUUUUUUUUCAAAAUACAUAAUUUUGAAGAAGGUACUGAAGUAACAGCUUAUUUAGCAUCCUUUAAAAAUAAGAAAUUAAUACAUCUUCAAAUUUUGUAACCAAACAAUAGCUUCAAGGCCCAUAUUUUUACUGAAUGAAUACCAUCACCAAACAUAGGCAAGUGGCCUUCAGUGGCUGCACUAUAUAUUUCCACCUGAAUCAGUGUAUUCUUUCUCCCAAAACUCACAUAACAAGAAUGUGAUGGAGGUAAUUAGAGUAUAGAAGGAAAAAACAGUGGUAGAGGAUUCAGGCAAUAUUCCCUCCCUCCCUCUCCGCAUUCGCAAACUAGGGCUAAUUAUUUUUAUUUAUUAAUGUGUUGCAAUCUGGAGAAACACACCCCUCUAAUACUUCACAAGUAAAUGGUCUAUAUCCCAGGUAAGUACCUUCUUAAAGAAGCUUUUGGUUUUUCCUUUUCUCUGAAUUUUUGAGAACUGGCCCUUGAUGAAAGGACGGUGAACUUGAAAACAGCCAGCCCUCCCAAAGAGAUCAAGUGCUCCUCUAUGAUCAUUGACUACAAAGCACAGUCAAACACUAAACAGUGGUUCUAACCUUGGCCAGACUUACCCAGAGAGAACAUCUUAGAGUUAAUAGAGCCAUGGACUCUAAGCUAAAGUCCAGUCCUACUAUGGACUCUUUCACAGGGGUUGUUUGGCAUUGGUGACUAACUUCACCUUUCUAAGCUUGACUCCUCAUAUGGGGCCAUGGCUCUUGCCUCCCCUGCUUCAGAGGGCUGUGAAGAGAAUCAAAUCAAACACUAUAUGAGAGUGUUGGAAAGUGUGAAAUGCUAUAGAAACAGACACAUAGAGCCCCUAAUCUGUAGGAUAUUUGACACCAUGUCUAUCUCCGCAAAAUUCACCUUCUCCAUGGUGACAUCUGUGACUCUUUUAUUUAAAGAAAAGGCUGAAUAGAGUGAGACCUAUGCCAUGGCCAGUGACCUGAUACAUGUGUGCAUGUCUGCAAAAGAUUAUUGUAGCUAUUGUCAUGAGAUACCUGCAUCGCUUUCUUGGCAGAAUUACCAGACUCUGUACUGCUGUGAAGCAAAAUGCACUCAGCUGUGUGCUGUUCUCUACCUUGGAACUGUCAUCCUCCAGCUUUAUAGUUAGACCAACACAAUCACUUAGUGGUGAAGGCAUGGAAGAAACUGCAGUGAGAAGUAGGAGAGACUUAGGAACAGAUCUGUCACUCAAAGUGUGAUGUGGUGCCAUUAGAAAAAGGGCUAAGUCAAGGAACAAGUUUCCUGGUGCUGGAGUGGCUAGAACAGUAAGGAUGGUCAUUAGGGACCUGAACAAUAUUUUAUGGGAAUAACUUAAAACAUUAUACAUCAUAUCUUCAUGUGCCCUAAUAACUUGGGUGGCCUCACGCCCCUUUCAACAUGAGGCUAGAGUCAAACAGUGUAUAAGAAACACUGAAAAGAUAAUCAUUCUAUAAUCAUUUGAUAAUCAUUCAAAUAUUUCAACUGUGGACAAGAAGGAGUCCCAAAAGAUUGCACAAGAUCCUUUUAGGAAGGCCUCUAAGUAGCUCCCCAAAAUCAUCAAACUAACAGACACAGUUCCCUCUUCUCCUCCACACCCAAACUCUAGCCCUGGCUGAUUAGUUUCCCUGAUUCAUCCUGAUCCUCUAGGCACUCUUCCACAGCACUUUAGGAUCUAAUUUUUAUUCACUUUUUCUUGUUCAGCUAUACCCAUGGCAUAUGAAGUUCCAGGACCAGCAAGUGAAUCCCAGCUGGAGCUGUGACCCACACCACAGCUGCAGCAACACCAGAUCCUUAACCCACUGCAUUGGGCUGGGGAUAGACCCCAUGUCUUUGCGGAAACAAGCCAGAUCAUUAACCAAUUGUGCCACAGAGAGGAAGUUGUGAUAUAUUUCUAUCAUGAAAUUUGUAUCAUUCCAGCUACAUGUGGGCAGCUGGGAAAGGUCUGAUCAUGAAAGACAGACCAUUGGGAGUUCCCGUUGUGGUGCAGUGGAAAGGAAUAUGACUAGUAUCCAUGAGGAUGCAGAUUUGAUUCCUGGCCUUGCUCAGUAGGUUGGGGAGUCAGCGUUGCCAUGAACUGUGGUUUAGUUUGCAGAUGCAACUCAGAUCCAUGUUGCUGUGGCUCUGGUGUAGGCUGAUUCAACCCUGAACCACCUGGGAAUUUCCAUAUGCUGCGGGUUUGGCCCUAAAAAGCCAAAAAAAAAAAAAAAAAAAAAAA